UCAAGUUUUAAGGGCAUACGGUGGAUGCCUGGAACCAGGAGCCGAAGAAGAAGGACGUAGGAGCUGCGAUAGCCUCGGGGAGUUGGACAACCGAACUGUGCAUCCGAGGAUUUCCGAUGGCGGAGGGAAACCCCGAUGGAGUCAUGUCCAGUGAACCCGCAUCUGAACACAUAGGGUGAGUGGAGGGAACGUGGGGAAGUGUGAAACAUCUCAGUACCACAGGAAGAGAAAGCAACCGCGAUUCCGGAGAGUGGCGGAGCGAAAGCGGAAGAGGCUAAACCGGUCAUGUGUGAUAGCUGCUAGCGUUGCAUGGUCGGGGUAGGGGACCUUGCCGUCGGGCUAGCACCCGUCAAGAGUAAGAAAGUAGCGUCAUAGCGAAAGGGCAUUGAAGGCGGCAAGAGGGUGGAACCCCCGUAGACGAAAUGGCGUGCACCUGGAGGGAUCCCAAGUAGCAAGGGGCCGAGAAAUCCGUGUGAAUCUGGGGGGACACACCCCCAAGCCGGACUACUGCCCUGGUGACGAUAGCGGACAGUACCGUGAGGGACAUGGUGAAAAGUAACCGGGAGGCGGAGUUGAAAUAGUGAAAUAGUACCUGAACAGUGUGCAUACAAUCCGGCGUCGGAGCCAUCUUGUUGGGGUGACGGCGUGCCGUUUGAAGAAUGAGCCUGCGAUUUAGUGGUACUUGGCGGGUUAACCCCGUGUGGAAAAGCCGUAGCGAAAGCGAGUCCGACGAAGGGCGCUGAGUCGCGUGCUCUAGACCCGAAGCGAAAGUGAUUACCCAGGCAGGUGAAAGCGGGUAAGACCGAGUGGAGGACCGAACCCACCAGGGUUUUGAAAACCGGGGGGCGACCUGUGGUAGGGGGAAAGGCAAUCAAACUUCGUGAUAGGGUUCUCCCCGAAAAUGCAUUUAGGGCAGCGUCAAGUGUUUCUUGCCGGAGGUUAGAGCUACUGGAUGGCGAUGGGACCACAAGGUACUGACGUCAGGCCAAACUCCGAAUGCCGGUUAAGUGAGAGCGUGGCAGUGAGACUGCGGGGAUAAGCUUCGUAGGCGAGAGGGAAACAGACCAGACAAACCAGCUAAGGACCCCUAAGCGGUCUAAGGGGAAAGGAUUGUGGAGUUGCACAGACAACCAGGAGGGUUGGCUUAGAAGCAGCCACCCUUGAAAGAGUGCGGAGUAAUAGCUCAGGUCAAGUGAUUCCGAGGCCGACAAUUAGCGGGCUCAAGCCACCGCCGAAGCUGUGGCAUUCACACAUCGAUAAGCCUUGUGGUUCAGUGUGUGGAGGGUAGGGGAGCGUCGUGUGGCGGGUGGAAGCGGCGGAGUGCUCCAGUCGUGGACGCUACACGAGUGAGAAUGGCAGGCCAUGAGUAGCGAAAGAGGGUGAGACUCCAGUGCCGAAUGACCAAGGGUUCCAGGGCCAGGCUAUCGCCCUGGGUAAGUCGGACUAAGGGCGAGGCCCGACAGGGCGUAGUCGAUGGCACAACGGGUUUUGAUAUCCCGUACCGGCGAAAGAAACGCCAAUACCGAGGCCGGGGAUGCUAAGUGCCCAAGCCGGUGACGUUUCGGAUGGAGCUGGUGGAGCGCAACCAGAUCCCGGGAUAGUUGUAAGCGCAAUUACCAGGGGUUUGAAGCAGGAAGGUAGCCACCGCGUGGCGAUGGUAGGUCCACGUCCAAGGGUGUAGGGCGAGGGUAGGCAAAGCGCACCUCUCACUUCAAAUGUGGAGUCUGAGACCUGAUGGUGACCGCGUAUGCGGGAAGCAGGGGUGAUCAUAUGCUGCCUAGAAAAGCAUCGGCGUGAGCGUUCAAGCCGCCCUACCCAAAAACCGACUCAGGUGGUCAGUUAGAGGACAUACCAAGGCGACGAGGAAUCGUGGUUAAGGAAAACUCGCAAAAUGCCCCGAACUUCGGGAGAGGGGGGCCCUAGCGUGAAACCCGCGGGUUAGGCGCGACGGCCGCACGAAGAGACCAGGGAAGAAGCGAAUGCUUUACUAAAAACACAGGUCCGUGCGAAAGUCGCAAGACGAUUAUACGGACUGACGCAUGCCCGGUGCUUGGUGGGGGGAACGUUAAGGGGACGGCGUCGCUCUUCGGAGCGAAGCUCAGAACUUAAGCGCAGUAAAACGGCCUGUGGUAAAUAAACCAUCCUAAGGUAGCGAAAUUCUUGUCGGGGAAGUUCCGACCUGCACGAAUGGCGUAGUCCGUAACGGACUUCAGCCGCUGUCUCAACGCGAACCGGGAAAUUGCCACUACGAGUAAAGAUGCUCGUUACCGCGCAGGCGGACGGAAAGACCCCGGGACCUUACUAUAGCUGGUAGUGGUGGUUCGGUACGCUCUUGGUAGGGAAGGUGGGGAGACUGUAGUCGGCACGCCAGUUGUCGGUGGAUGGUCAUAGUUGAUGAAAUACCACUCUGGGCGUUCUGGACAGCUAAACUUCGGUCCGUGACCGGAUCAGGAACAGUGCAUGGUGGGUAGUUUAAAUGGCGGUUGCCGCCUAAAGAGUAACGGAGGCGCUCAAGUUCCCCUCAUCCUGGUUGGCAAUCAGGUGCGAGUGUUAAGUGCCAAAAGGGAGCUUGACUGCGAGACUUGACAGGUAGAGAGGGACGAAAGUCGGAACUAGUGAGUCGGCCGUGGUUUGGUGGAAACGCGGUGUUUUUUCGCUCAAACGGAAUUAAAAGGUACCCGGGGAUAAACGGUGAUCUUGCCCAAGAGUCUCCAUAGGCGACGGCAUGGUUUGGCAACUCGAUGUCGGCUCGUCGCAUCUGGGGCGGGAAGUAGGUCCCAAGUUGGCGGUUCGACAUUAAAGCGGUACGCGAGCUGGGUUUAGAACGUCGUUGAGACAGUUCGGUCCCUAUCCGCUGCGCGCGUUGGAGACCGUGAGAAGGGCAUUUGUCCCUAGUACGAGAGACCGGGGAGGACGAACACUCUGGAUGUGCCAGGUUGUUCCGCCAGGAGCACAGGAUGGUUGGGGGUACGUUCGGGAGGGAUAACCGCUGAAAGCAUUAAGCGGGGAAAAGCUGCUUCAAGAGAGAGUCUCCAUGGACUUCGAGUCGAGAGGCGCCCCGCAGACUACUGGUUGAUAGGCGGAGGUGGACGACAGUAAUGGUUGCAGCCUGACCGGUACUAAUAAGCGAUUAUUGCUACACCC
rnacentral:rRNA from 1 species